GGGCUGCAGCCAAGGCUGCGGGCGGACGCGCAGCUGAGCGAGGACGGAGGGGGCCUCCAGCCGCCCGGCGGGAGCCUCCGCCUCUCCUGCAAGGGAACCGAGUUCACCUUCAGCAGCUUCCAGAUGGUUUGGGUCCAGCAAGUGACUGGGAAGAGGCCCGAGUGGGUUGCAGAAAUUGGCAGCAGUGGUAGUAGCACAUACUACGCGUCUGCGGUGCAAGGGCGCUUCACCAUCUCCCGGGACAACGCGCAGAGCACGCUCUACCUGCAGAUGAACAGCCUCAAGUCCGAGGACACCGGCACCUACUACUGCGCGAAAGCUGCUGGUAGUGGUUAUGGUGGUGGAGACCUUGUAGCAGUCACUGCUGCCAUUCAGAGGCACCCAGACAGCCCAGAGAGAUGGGCAAAGAGGAAGCUCAUGAAGUUCAGCACAGGGAAGUACAAGCGAGGACAUCUAGGGAGGACUCACCCCACGCACCAGUACAGACUGGGGGCAGAACUGACAGAAAGCAGCUCUGUGGAGAAGGACUGA